rnacentral:rRNA from 1 species
UGAGGAACAUGACCUUCGGCGGGGGAUAGCCGGCCCAACGGCCGGGUAAUACCGCGUACGACCACUUGGGGACAUCCCUGAGUGGUGAAAGCAGCAAUGCGCCGAUGGAGUGCCUCGCGGCCUAUCAGCUAGUUGGUGAGGUAACGGCUCACCAAGGCGACGACGGGUANCUGGUCUGAGAGGAUGGCCAGCCACAUUGGGACUGAGACACGGCCCAGACUCCGUAGGGAG